rnacentral:rRNA from 1 species
GAUGAACGCUGGCGGCGUGCCUAACACAUGCAAGUCGAGCGAUUCUCUUCGGAGAAGAGCGGCGGACGGGUGAGUAACGCGUGGGUAACCUGCCCUGUACACACGGAUAACAUACCGAAAGGUAUGCUAAUACGAGAUAAUAUGCUUUUAUCGCAUGGUAGAAGUAUCAAAGCUCCGGCGGUACAGGAUGGACCCGCGUCUGAUUAGCUAGUUGGUAAGGUAACGGCUUGCCAAGGCGACGAUCAGUAGCCGACCUGAGAGGGUGAUCGGCCACACUGGAACUGAGACACGGUCCAAACUCCUACGGGAGGCAGGAGUGGGGAAUAUUGCACAAUGGGCGAAAGCCUGAUGCAGCAACGCCGCGUGAGCGAUGAAGGCCUUCGGGUCGUAAAGCUCUGUCCUCAAGGAAGAUAAUGACGGUACUUGAGGAGGAAGCCCCGGCUAACUACGUGCCAGCCGCCGCAGUAA